rnacentral:rRNA from 1 species
UACGAAGGGGGCUAGCGUUGUUCGGAAUUACUGGGCGUAAAGCGCAUGUAGGCGGAUAUUUAAGUCAGGGGUGAAAUCCCCGGGCUCAACCUGGGAACUGCUUUCAAAACUGCUGAGCUAGAGUACGGUAGAGGGUGGUGGAAUUUCCUGUGUAGCGGUGAAAUGCGUAGAUAUAGGAAGGAACACCAGUGGCGAAGGCGGCUCACUGGUCCAUUACUGACGCUGAGGUGCGAAAGCGUGGGGAGCAAACAGG